rfam:Populus trichocarpa isolate Nisqually-1 chromosome 8, whole genome shotgun sequence.
UAAUUUUUUAUGACAAAUCUUUAUCAAACUGUGAAAGAUUUUCAUGUGACUGCUAAAAAACCUUCAACUUAUGCUAGCCCGGCUACAUCAAUAAUUAAGGCACGUGGAGAGGAAACGGUGAUUAAUAAGAAUAAAAAA